CUAGUAAUCGUGGAUCAGCAUGCCACGGUGAAUACGUUCCCGGGUCUUGUACACACCGCCCGUCACACCAUGGGAGCCGGUAACACCCGAAGUCAGUAGUCUAACCGCAAGGAGGACGCUGCCGAAGGUAGGAUUGGCGACUGGGGUGAAGUCGUAACAAGGUAUC
rnacentral:rRNA from 1 species